AACGAACGCUGGCGGCAUGCCUAACACAUGCAAGUCGAACGAGACCUUCGGGUCUAGUGGCGCACGGGUGCGUAACGCGUGGGAACCUGCCCUUAGGUUCGGAAUAACUCCCCGAAAGGGGUGCUAAUACCGGAUAAUGUCUUCGGACCAAAGAUUUAUCGCCUUUGGAUGGGCCCGCGUUGGAUUAGCUAGUUGGUAGGGUAAAAGCCUACCAAGGCGACGAUCCAUAGCUGGUCUGAGAGGAUGAUCAGCCACACUGGGACUGAGACACGGCCCAGACUCCUACGGGAGGCAGCAGCGGGGAAUAUUGGACAAGGGGCGAAAGCCUGAUCCAGCAAUGCCGCGUGAGUGAUGAAGGCCUUAGGGUUGUAAAGCUCUUUUACCCGGGAUGAUAAUGACAGUACCGGGAGAAUAAGCUCCGGCUAACUCCGUG
rnacentral:rRNA from 1 species